GCUGAUUGUUUGCCAUAUUUUGGAGGCUUUGCUGAGUCUGAGGUGCCUGCAUGGGUCUUAUAACAUUAGAAGGCAUUAGUUGUCCAAUGACAGCGGGUUGGCUUGGAGGCUUUUGCUCAUUCCUCUGUUCANGAGGCUAGCUGUUGUGCUUGCUCCACUGACUUUUCACCACGAGAAAAACUCUCAGGUGAGAUUUUGGAUGAUGAUGCCUGAGCUUGGUUAGCUGCCUGCAUGGACAUGAGUUCCUGCAUUUUCAAAUUUCCCAUCCUCAUGUCCUGAUCCUUGCUAGUUGCAGGGCCCAAAAUUCCCAUUUUAGCUGCCUGUUGUG
rnacentral:misc_RNA from 1 species